GACGAACGCUGGCGGCGUGCCUAAUACAUGCAAGUCGAACGCACAGUUUAUACCGUAGCUUGCUACACCAUAGACUGUGAGUUGCGAACGGGUGAGUAACGCGUAGGUAACCUGCCUGGUAGCGGGGGAUAACUAUUGGAAACGAUAGCUAAUACCGCAUAAUAUUGAUUAUUGCAUGAUAAUUGAUUGAAAGAUGCUAUUGCAUCACUACCAGAUGGACCUGCGUUGUAUUAGCUAGUAGGUGAGGUAACGGCUCACCUAGGCGACGAUACAUAGCCGACCUGAGAGGGUGAUCGGCCACACUGGGACUGAGACACGGCCCAGACUCCUACGGGAGGCAGCAGUAGGGAAUCUUCGGCAAUGGACGAAAGUCUGACCGAGCAACGCCGCGUGAGUGAAGAAGGUUUUCGGAUCGUAAAGCUCUGUUGUAAGAGAAGAACGGGUGUGAGAGUGGAAAGUCCACACUGUGACGGUAUCUUACCAGAAAGGGACGGCUAACUACGUG
rnacentral:rRNA from 1 species